CAAAAGGCUCUUUUCAGAGCCACCGAUUUUAUCAUUGAGAGUUGCU
rfam:Heterocephalus glaber contig168506, whole genome shotgun sequence.